rnacentral:rRNA from 1 species
UACGUAGGGUGCGAGCGUUUGUCCGGAAUUACUGGGCGUAAAGAGCUUGUAGGUGGUUUGUCGCGUUGUUCGUGAAAUCUCACGGCUUAACUGUGAGCGUGCGGGCGAUACGGGCAGACUGGAGUACUGCAGGGGAGACUGGAAUUCCUGGUGUAGCGGUGGAAUGCGCAGAUAUCAGGAGGAACACCGGUGGCGAAGGCGGGUCUCUGGGCAACAACUGACGCUGAGGAGCGAAAGCGUGGGGAGCGAACAGG